rnacentral:rRNA from 1 species
GACGAACGCUGGCGGCGUGCUUAACACAUGCAAGUCGAACGGAAAGGCCCUGCUUUUGUGGGGUGCUCGAGUGGCGAACGGGUGAGUAACACGUGAGUAACCUGCCCUUGACUUUGGGAUAACUUCAGGAAACUGGGGCUAAUACCGGAUAGGAGCUCCUGCUGCAUGGUGGGGGUUGGAAAGUUUCGGCGGUUGGGGAUGGACUCGCGGCUUAUCAGCUUGUUGGUGGGGUAGUGGCUUACCAAGGCUUGGACGGGUAGCCGGCCUGAGAGGGUGACCGGCCACAUUGGGACUGAGAUACGGCCCAGACUCCUACGGGAGGCAGCAGUGGGGAAUAUUGCACAAUGGGCGGAAGCCUGUUGCAGCAACGCCGCGUGCGGGAUGACGGCCUUCGGGUUGUAAACCGCUUUCGCCUGUGACGAAGCGUGAGUGACGGUAAUGGGUAAAGAAGCACCGGCUAACUACGUG